UACAGAGGUGGCAAGCGUUGUUCGGAAUUACUGGGCGUAAAGGGCGCGUAGGUGGCCUUCUUAGUCAGACGUGAAAUCCCCAGGCUUAACCUGGGAACUGCGUCUGAUACUGGAAGGCUCGAGUUCGGGAGAGGAAUGUGGAAUUCCAGGUGUAGCGGUGAAAUGCGUAGAUAUCUGGAGGAACACCGGUGGCGAAGGCGGCAUUCUGGACCGAAACUGACGCUGAGGCGCGAAAGCUAGGGGAGCAAACAGG
rnacentral:rRNA from 1 species